UUGUCACAAGUACAUCGGAAUAUUGAAUGACAAUGAAACGUGUUGUUUGAGUCAAUGACCAACACAGCCUGAAGAUGUGCUGUGGGUACUGAACAAGUGUUGCCAUGUUUCCAGUGUCAACAUAACAUGCCCACAACUGACUAACCCGAACCCGUUUGACUUUCAGAAUGUGGGAGGAAACCGGAGCAUCCAGAGGAAACCCAUGUGCUCACGGGGAGAAAAGCGGCAGGAAUUGAAACCCAGUCUUCCGAUUGCUGGGGCUGUGAAGUGUAAAGUUAACUGCUACAUUACCAUGCUCCCCUGGAUUGCAUCCUUCUCAUUGACAAUCGUCUCAGACAAAACCGAGUGUCCGUCUCCUUGGAUGUGGAAAUGGCGAAUCCGUAUCUCGAGGUUUCUGAGGAUUGGAAGAGUGUGAGAUGGACCCAGACCUGGAGGGAUCUCCCUGACACCAGGAAGAGAUUCACAAAUUUGCCUUGUGUGCUGGGAUCGGAGGGAUUCGCAUCGGGCACACAUUACUGGGAGGUGGAGGUGACGGCGAAUCGGGUCUGGUGGCUGGGAGUCGCCGCAGAGUCUAUGGGGAGGAAGGGAUUGUUCAGUCUGAGUCCGGAGACCGGAUUCUGGGUCAUCGGGCGGGUUGAUGACGUGCUCGGUGUUCUCCCCUCCCCUGUGUUCCAUCUCCCUGCCGGUCCCAUCCCCGGGAGGGUGGGUGUUUAUCUCAGUUACGAGUCCGGGACGGUUUCAUUUUACAACGCGGAGACCAAGUCCCAUCUCCACAUCUUCACUGGGAAUAAAUUCACGGGGAAACUUUAUCCUUUCUUUGCGACCUGGGAUGGAAACCACUGGCUGAGAAUCUGCUCCGGGUCUGUAAACGGGUCGGGUCCCGGGACCAGCGUCAGGAGUAAAGUCCCUGUAAAUAUAAAAUUGCAGACAGUGAAAUAAA